rnacentral:rRNA from 1 species
AGAGUUUGAUCAUGGCUCAGAACGAACGCUGGCGGCGUGGAUAAGACAUGCAAGUCGAGCGCUGAUUACAGGGUAGCAAUAUUCUGUGGUCGGAGCGGCGCAAGGGUGCGUAACACGUGGGUAAUCUGCCAUGAAGUUUGGGAUAACUCGCUGAAAGGCGAGCUAAUACCGGAUGUGACAAUUGGAAGGCAUCUUCCGAUUUUCAAAGUUGGGGACCGUAAGGCCUGACGCUUCAUGAUGAGCCCGCGGCCUAUCAGCUAGUUGGUGAGGUAACGGCUCACCAAGGCUAAGACGGGUAGCUGGUCUGAGAGGACGACCAGCCACACUGGAACUGAGACACGGUCCAGACACCUACGGGUGGCAGCAGUCGAGAAUUUUUCACAAUGGGCGAAAGCCUGAUGGAGCGACGCCGCGUGGGGGAUGAAUGGCUUCGGCCCGUAAACCCCUGUCAUUUGCGAACAAACCUUGCUAUUUAAAAGAUGGCGAGCUGAUUGUAGCGAAAGAGGAAGGGACGGCUAACUUCGUGCCAGCCGCCGCGGUAAUAC